UCGAGGAUCUUCGGCAAUGGGCGCAAGCCUGACCGAGCGACGCCGCGUGCGCGAUGAAGGCCUUCGGGUUGUAAAGCGCUGUCGAGGGGGAGGAAGCCGCAAGGUUGACCUAUCCCUGGAGGAAGCACGGGCUAAGUUCGUGCCAGCAGCCGCGGUAAGACGAACCGUGCAAACGUUGUUCGGAAUCACUGGGCUUAAAGGGCGCGUAGGCGGGCAAGCAAGUCCGGGGUGAAAUCUUUCGGCUCAACCGGAAAAGUGCCUUGGAUACUGCUUGUCUGGAGGGAGGUAGGGGCAUGUGGAACUUCUGGUGGAGCGGUGAAAUGCGUUGAUAUCAGAAGGAACGCCGGUGGCGAAAGCGACGUGCUGGACCUCUUCUGACGCUGAGGCGCGAAAGCUAGGGGAGCAAACGGGAUUAGAUACCCCCGUAGUCC
rnacentral:rRNA from 1 species